rnacentral:tRNA from 1 species
GGAAAGUUGGCAGAGUCUGGUUUAAUGCAACAGUCUUGAAAACUGUCGAGCAGAAAUGCUCCGUGGGUUCGAAUCCCACACUUUCCUCCA